rnacentral:rRNA from 1 species
CGCGUAGGCGGUUUGAUAAGUCGGAUGUGAAAGCCCUGGGCUCAACCUGGGAACUGCAUUCGAUACUGUCUGACUAGAGUAUGGUAGAGGGAAGUGGAAUUCCGGGUGUAGCGGUGAAAUGCGUAGAUAUCCGGAGGAACAUCAGUGGCGAAGGCGACUUCCUGGACCAAUACUGACGCUGAGGUGCGAAAGCGUGGGGAGCAAACA